CAUUUUGAGACAGGUGUUGGCAGGUUUACAUUGACCUGGGUUUACCAAUAUUGUGAAGGGUAUUCCUACCCAGGCCUGCAACAUUCAGGCCCUACCCUACCCAGGCCUGCAACAUUCAGGCCCUGCCCUACCCAGGCCUGCAACAUUCAGGCCCUGCCCUACCCAGGCCUGCAACAUUCAGGACCUGCCCUACCCAGGCCUGCAACAUUCAGGCCCUACCCUACCCAGGCCUGCAACAUUCAGGCCCUACCCAGGCCUGCAACAUUCAGGCCCUACCCUACCCAGGCCUGCAACAUUCAGGCCCUACCCUACCCAGGCCUGCAACAUUCAGGACCUACCCUACCCAGGCCUGCAACAUUCAGGCCCUGCCCUACCCAGGCCUGCAACAUUCAGGCCCUGCCCUACCCAGGCCUGCAACAUUCAGGCCCUGCCCUACCCAGGCCUGCAACAUUCAGGCCCUGCCCUACCCAGGCCUGCAACAUUCAGGACCUACCCUACCCAGGCCUGCAACAUUCAGGACCUUCCCUACCCAGGCCUGCAACAUUCAGGCCCUACCCUACCCAGGCCUGCAACAUUCAGGACCUUCCCUACCCAGGCCUGCAACAUUCAGGACCUGCCCUACCCAGGCCUGCAACAUUCAGGACCUGCCCUACCCAGGCCUGCAACAUUCAGGACCUACCCUACCCAGGCCUGCAACAUUCAGGACCUUCCCUACCCAGGCCUGCAACAUUCAGGACCUGCCCUACCCAGGCCUGCAACAUUCAGGCCCUACCCAGGCCUGCAACAUUCAGGACCUGCCCUACCCAGGCCUGCAACAUUCAGGCCCUACCCAGGCCUGCAACAUUCAGGACCUACCCUACCCAGGCCUGCAACAUUCAGGCCCUACCCUACCCAGGCCUGCAACAUUCAGGACCUGCCCUACCCAGGCCUGCAACAUUCAGGACCUGCCCUACCCAGGCCUGCAACAUUCAGGACCUACCCUACCCAGGCCUGCAACAUUCAGGACCUACCCUACCCAGGCCUGCAACAUUCAGGACCUGCCCUACCCAGGCCUGCAACAUUCAGGACCUACCCUACCCAGGCCUGCAACAUUCAGGACCUGCCCUACCCAGGCCUGCAACAUUCAGGACCUGCCCUACCCAGGCCUGCAACAUUCAGGACCUGCCCUACCCAGGCCUGCAACAUUCAGGCCCUACCCUACCCAGGCCUGCAACAUUCAGGACCUACCCUACCCAGGCCUGCAACAUUCAGGACUUGCCCUACCCAGGCCUGCAACAUUCAGGACCUGCCCUACCCAGGCCUGCAACAUUCAGGCCCUACCAAGGCCUAAUUGCUUCUGCCAAAUGUAAAGAUGGAAGCCAGAAAUAA
rnacentral:lncRNA from 1 species